AUGGCAUCCAAGGCGCUGUUGCUGGCCGUGGCCGUGGCCGUGGCGGCGGGGUGCGCGGACGCGACGGACCACAUCGUGGGGGCCAACCGCGGGUGGAACCCCAACAUCAACUACUCCGGCUGGUCCGCCAACCAGACCUUCUACGCCGGCGACCUCAUCUCGUUCCGGUACCAGAAGGGGACGCACAACGUGUUCGCGGUGAACGAGACGGGCUACGACAACUGCACCAUGGCCGGGGUCACCGGCAACUGGACCUCCGGCAAGGACUUCAUCCCGCUCCCGGACCCAGGCACCUACUUCUUCAUCUGCGGCAACGGCUUCUGCCAGGCCGGCAUGAAGGUCGCCAUCACCGUCGCCCCUGGCAUCUUCGAUCUCGGCCCACAGAUCUACCCCCCGCCCGCCCCCGGCGCCGACAACCCAUCCGCCUCCUUCACCGCAGGGGCGUGGCCGGCAGCGGCAGCGGUGGUCACCGCGCUGGGAGCUGCUGCCAUCAUUGCCCUUUAG
rnacentral:rRNA from 1 species